UACCAGCUCUCCGAGUGGUGUGGAUGUUUAUUGGGCCUAAAGCAUCCGUAGCUGGCUGGACAAGUCCCCUGUUAAAUCCACCGAUUUAAUCGUUGGUGUGCGGGGGAUACUGUUCGGCUAGGGGACGGGAGAGGCAGACGGUAUUUUCGGGGUAGGGGUGAAAUCCUAUAAUCCCGGGAAGACCACCAGUGGCGAAGGCUGUCUGCUAGAACGCGCCCGACGGUGAGGGAUGAAAGCCGGGGGAGCGAACCGGAUUAGAUACCCGGGCAGUCCCAGCUGUAAACGAUGCAGGCUAGGUGUUUGGACGGCCACGUGCCGUUCUAGUGCCGCAGGGAAGCCGUUAAGCCUGCCGCCUGGGGAGUACGGCCGCAAGGCUGAAACUUAAAGGAAUUGGCGGGGGAGCACCGACAAGGGGUGAAGCUUGCGGUUU
rnacentral:rRNA from 1 species